rnacentral:rRNA from 1 species
AGAUUUCCGGGGCUAAACCUUCCUACCGAAGCGACGGCAUCAGUAAGUCAGGGUAGGGGAGCUUCCCAUACGGGUUGAGGCAUGACCGUAAGGACAUGGGGACAGUAUGGGAGUGAGAAUGUUGGCAUGAGUAGCGAGAUGUGGGUGAGAAUCCCACAGGCCGUAAACCCAAGGUUUCCAGGGGAAGGUUCGUCCGCCCUGGGUUAGUCGGGACCUAAGCUGAGGCCGAAAGGCGUAGGUGAUGGACAACAGGUUGAUAUUCCUGUACUACCGAUAACCGUUUGAGAGAAGGGAUGACACAGUAGGAUAAGCUAAGCACACUGUUGGUUAUGUGUGCCCAAGCAUUGAGGCAGUCAAAGUAGGCAAAUCCGCUUUGAUAAUGCUGGGAUGUGAUGGGGAGCGAAAUUUAGUAGCGAAGUAGCUGAUUUCACACUGUCAAGAAAAGUCUCUAUCGAGGUUAAAGGUACCCGUACCGCAAACCGACACAGGUG